rnacentral:lncRNA from 1 species
UGCAAACUCUAGUGUGUCUUCAAGAUUGGCUUCGAAAUGAAAUAUUAAAACAACCCAUUUAUUCAUCAGCAAUUCUUUUUCUGAAACUCUUCACUUCUGUGCUUUACAUGUUAAUGGUUUGUGUUCUAUUCUAACUGAAUACAAUUCCCACAACCUUCUCAUGGCAUUGCUGACUUUGUACAGCUUACUGGCCUUUGUAAAAACAUUAAAGUAUCUACAUAGUUGAUGUUAUAUUUUUUUCCUAUUUUGGUUUCAUGAUCCCAUGCCUUUAUUUUAAAAUAGUACUCAGUCCUUUCCUUACUGUUCACCUGAACUGAAACCAUGUCUUUAAAUCUUAUAAGAAGCUCU